rnacentral:rRNA from 1 species
GACGAACGCUGGCGGCGUGCCUAAUACAUGCAAGUCGAGCGAGCGGGGACGGGUGAGUAACACGUGGGUAACCUCCCAUAUGAGGGGAUAACACUUGGAAACAGGUGCUAAACCGACACUGAUGGAUGGACCAGUGGUGCAUUAGCUAGUUGGUGAGGUAACGGCUCACCAGGGCCACGAUGCAUAGCCGACCUGAGAGGGUGAUGGGCCACACUGGGACUGGGACACGGCCCAGACUCCUACGGGGGGCAGCAGUAGGGAAUCUGCGGCAAUGGAGGAAAGUCUGACCGAGCAACGCGGGUGGAGUGAAGAAGGUUUUCGGAUCGUAAAACUCUUUUGUUAGAGAAGCGGUAUCUAACCAGAAAGCCACGGCUAACUACGUGCCAGCAGCCGCGGUAAUAC